rnacentral:lncRNA from 1 species
GAGUGCCCACUGGUGUCCGAUGGGCUUAGCUGGAGUCGUGCCAGAGGCAGGCAUUUUUCUCCUGUUCCAGGAAGGGAGUUAAGAGGAAGAAAACCCUGCUCGCCCACAGCCAGCUCCCGCUUGUCACCCAGGAUAAAGGUGCCUACAGGGUCUCAGCUGGAAGUCACGCCCAGGCGCAGAUGGCUCCAAGCUGGCUUCGUGGAUGGCUCAGGGAGGCAGGAGCUCCUCCCUGGUGGCUUGGCAGUGGCUUGGUGAAUACAUUUCGGAAAAGGAAGAAGGCAAGCCCAACAACUACAGCGAGACCAGGACAUCCGCUUGGUGGUGUUACACACAAGCAGGGUGACACACGGACAUCCCCGCAGAUGUCCCCUGAGGAAGGUCAGAGCUGGACUCCAGAUAGCAUAACUCGGACUCACAACACCAUUGCACACAUUUGUCGAUUAAAUAGUAAGUAAGCAUUGUUUAUUCUGGGUCUUCAAUACACUUCUUUAAAAAAAAUCUAUUUAUUUAUUUAUUUAUUUGAAAGUAAGGGAGCCACACACAGAGAGAAAGACACAUCAAGAGAGUUUCCAUCUGCUGCCUCACUCCCCAAUUGCCUAGCCAUGGCCAGGACUGGGCUGGGCUGAAGCAGCGAGCCGGGAUUUCAAUCCAGGUUUCCCAGAUGGGUGGCAGGGACCCAAUUACUUGAGCCAUCACCGCUGUCUCCCAGGGUCUGGGAAGCUGGAGUCAGCAGCCAGAGCUGAGUGUGAAACCCAGGCUCUCCGGGGUGGCUUGUCACUGCUCAGCCAAACACCGCCUUCCAUAACACUUCUAAG